GUUUUGUUUGUUUGUUUCUUUGUUUUCUUUGUUUGUUUUGGGGUUAUUUCCAUUUUUUCUUGUCUGGUUUUGUUUUUGUAAGACCCUUAAAAACCCUUUUCUUUUGGUCAACACCUGGAACUGUUGUUACAGGACAAGAGCCUUCAAACUGAAAGAAAGUAGAUUUGGAUUAGAUAUUAGGGAAAAAAAUCUUUGCUGUGGAGGUGGUGAGGCACUGUCACAGGUUGACCAAAGAAGCUGUGAAUGUCCCAUUUCUGGAAUUGUUCAAAGCCAGGUUGAAUUGGGCUUUGAGAAACCUGGUAUAGUGAUUGGUUAGGCAUGGCAAGGGGUUGGAACUAGAUGGUCUUUGAGGUCCCUUACAACUCAAACCGUUCUAUGAUUCUAAUGAAACAUUUAAAAAUGUUUGCUCUAGAGCAAUCUGUAAAGAAUUCUGUUUUUUCUCAUUGUUUCACCUUUAUUUUACUUUAUAACAGGUUUGAACCCAUUGAUCCAUUUCAACCAAGAUUGAUAAAAUAAAAUAAGCAGUACACUUACAGGAAAUAUUCUAGACAGCAUGAUAACAGAUGGUCAGUUUUUUUACUCCCACUCUCGAGAAGACUUCUGCAUGAUUUUAAACUCCUGUAAUAUUGAAAAGGGAAAAAAAAAUACCUCAAACCCCUCUUUAUUGUUGACAAAAACCUCAAUGUGAGCCAGCAGUGGGGGCUGGCAGCCCAGAAAGCCAGAUGUAUCCUGGAUUGCAUCAAAAAGAGCAUGGCCAGCAGGGCAAGGGAGGUGAUUCUGUCCCUGUACUCCCUGUUCUUGUGAGACCCUACCUGGAGUGCUGCAUCUAGCUGUGGUUCCUCCAAAAUAAGAAAGACACAGAAGUGUUGGAGCAAGUCCAGAGGAAGCCAUGAAGGAAUAAGGAGACUGGAACACCUUUCCUAUGAAGACAGGCUGAGAAAGUUGAUGCUCUGUCCCAUUUUACACUAUAUCAUGAUUACUCAUGCUCUAUCCCUUCUUGUUAGUACACGGUGUUUAUUUCUAUUCCAGACUGACCCCAUUCUCAAGAGAAUUUCUAUUCUCGGCAUCUAGGGCAUGAUGAUUCAGUUGCUCAAAUAAAAUAUUCUUAUAUUCCAUUUGCCUUGACAAUACUAUCAUUCCUGGGAAGUGCACAGUGACACUUUUCUGGUGUUUGACCUUUUUGGCAAAUUGGUGGAAAUGGGCACAUCUUUAUCUUGUGCUUUUUGUUUUCAGAUUAUUUUCCAGCAUCCUCUUGAAACUGGUAUAUAUUUUCAUCAUUUGAAUGAAUAUUUGUUCUUCUUUAUUUUUGUAUUUCUGUGAUAACAUCAAUAUGUGUUUAUGAUAUAAUUUUGAUAUUAUGAUAUUACAAUUUUGUCAUCUUGGUUUUCUGGUACAACUCUGUUGUACUUAUUGGUCCAUUUCAAAUUCAUUAAAUAAAUUCAAAUGUUACUGUUUUAGUAUCAUAUAUUUCUGAUAUUUGAAAAUAGCAAUGACUUUUCAAAUUCUUAGGUGGCUUCUGGGAUUCUUGUUUGAAAAUUUUUUCUCCAUCAAAGAGUUGUCCUCUACACUUUCAAAUUAUUACAGAGCAGUUUGUGUUUUGCAAUAAUGUUUGAAAAUUUGUCUAACUGAUGAGGUGGUGUUUCAAAGUUUUGCCUCACUGGUGAGGCAAAAAAACUAUUAAGUGUUUCUUGUAAGAUAACAAGGCUCCAAAUCUCAACUCACUGGAUCAACUUGCAAGGUUACCAGUACUGCAUGUAUGCCAUGCUUGUGUUUCCUCCUCCUCUAUUAUGGUCUCAGUGCAUUGCAUAUGCCUAAGGUUGGAAAGUGAUGAUAUGCUCAAAAUUUGAAUACUCUCUGAGUUAAUACCUUUAAAGGUUGGCAUAUUACAAGGUAUUUUUACCUUCCCAAAAUAUGUUGGUUUCCCUGGGAAAUCAGGAACUGCUCUGUGUAUGAUACUGCAGUCAGGACCAACUUCCUUUUCGUUUGUUUGUAUUAACUGGUAAGGAGAUGGAGUUGUUUGUAAAGGAUUGCCACAGCUUCUGCCAGGCAUUUCUCAUAUCACAUUCCUGAGUAUAAUCAGCUCUGAUGCUGGCUUUGUGAGCCUGGCUGGCAGAGCUGAUAGUCUUUUGCUGUAAGGUUCACUACUAACAGCCUUCUCAACACCUCAGCCUCCUCAGCUGGCUUCCAAAAUAUGAUGAUGAUUGUGUUGCCGAGAUAGGGAAGCUGAAUAGGCCUUGUCAACAUUUUGCUUUUUCAGUGACUGCCAUUCUGCUUAUGUAAUUUUGAGAUUACGUAAAACUAUGUAUUUUUGUGUGUAUUUCAAUAAUCAUUUUCUUGUUCUAAUGCAAUAAAUAGUGUGUAAAGCA